UCUCUGCAAGCACAGGGACUCAGGCUGGAAUUCCAGCACCCCCACAAAAGGCUUGGGCGUGCCUGUGAAUGUCAGCGGCUCCGUCUUUGGGAGACCCGUGUGGCCCGAGAACUUUGGGCCUGUCAGCCUAGCACAGACGGCGAGCUCCGGGUUCACUGGGAGACCCUGUCUCAGAGUAGAAGGACAGACCACAGACACAGCAGUGGAACAGGCUGCUCACAAAUGUUGCGUGUGUACAGUAGUUGAGCACACGACGUGCAGAAGGCAGCUCACCCGCCCUCUGAGUCCUCGGUGCCUCCCACGCCUCCCAGCUGUGCUCGUUCCCUGCGUCUUCUGAGGAACCAUAGCACUGCCAGCUGGGGAGGGCCCCGAGGUCUAAGUUCUCCGCUUGCCACUCCAGCCAUCAUGCCUGCCACUUCCCUGCCAUUACAGACACUUAUCCCUCU